rnacentral:tRNA from 1 species
AAGGGUAUAGCUCGGUGGUAGAGUGCGUGCUUGGCAGGCACGAGGUCCUGGGUUCAAUCCCCAGUAUCUUCU